rnacentral:lncRNA from 1 species
ACAGAUUCUCUCUGAGCCAAAUGGGUUAAGGGAGAAGUGAUGGAGGCGAUUCGAAGCUGUCUUUCCUACCCUCUUCAGUACCUCUUCCAGUGAUGUGAAGUUAAAACCAGAGAUGGAGUCUCCCUGUGUUGCCCAGUCUGGUCUUGAGAGCUUCAGUUUUAAAUAAUAAAUUGUUCUCGUCUUUCUAAAUUUCAAUCAAAACACAGGAUGUAUUUUAAAAGGGAAAAACUGUGAGGUAAAAGAAUAGGGUGAGGGGAGGAAAGAAAUAACUUCAUAGAGAAAAAUUCAAUGAACCCUUGGAAGAAAAUAUAUGGAAGUAUGGUUACUGACUUGGGAAAGAAGAGAAAGGUACAAUGUAACUGCACAUAGAAGCCAGUCCUGAAAAGAAGCAAGCCGGCUGAAGUUAUCUGCAACUCAGAAGCACUUGGUACCACCCAAGGGGAGAUAAGAGGAGAUCUCAUCAGAGGUGCCUGAAAAGCACCUCAGCCGAAGGCCUCACAUAGAGAGACCUAAGAAUGAAGGCACCUGGACUAGGAAUGUGAAUAUGUGAAAGAACAUGACCGGCCAGGGGCCCUGAGUUAUUGAAUGCAACCCCCUUCAGACACUGCAACACACAGGCUGUGCACCAAGCCUAGUAUGGGAAGGACAGCUUUUCUUCAUGAGGCCUGCCAGGUAAAGCCAGCUAUGAAACAGGAAGUUGACCUUCACCAGACACUGAACCUACUGGCACCUUGAUCUUGGACUUCCCAGCCUUACAAACUGUAAGAAAUAAAUGUCUGUUGUUCAUAA